GAUGAACGCUAGCGGCAGGCUUAACACAUGCAAGUCGAGGGGUAUAGUUCUUCGGAGCUAGAGACCGGCGCACGGGCGCGUAACGCGUAUGCAAUCUACCUUUUGCAGAGGGAUAGCCCAGAGAAAUUUGGAUUAAUACCUCAUGGUAUGUGAGAAUGGCAUCAUUUUCACAUUAAAGUCACAACGGCAAAAGAUGAGCAUGCGUCCCAUUAGCUAGUUGGUAAGGUAACGGCUUACCAAGGCAACGAUGGGUAGGGGUCCUGAGAGGGAGAUCCCCCACACGGGGACGGAGACACGGACCACACUCCUACGGGAGGCAGCAGUGAGGAAUAUUGGACAAUGGGCGCAAGCCUGAUCCAGCCAUGCCGCGUGCAGGAUGACGGUCCUAUGGAUUGUAAACUGCUUUUGUACAGGAAGAAACACUGGUUCGUGAACCAGCUUGACGGUACUGUAAGAAUAAGGAUCGGCUAACUCCGUGCCAGCAGCCGCCGUAAUAC
rnacentral:rRNA from 1 species